CGAUGACGUCCAAGGAUGAAAGUCUUUGGACCAAAGGUGUGAUUCCGCCUGGAGACGGGUCCGCGUCCUAUUAGCUUGUUGGUAGGGUAACGGCCUACCAAGGCUACGAUGGGUAGCGGGUGUGAGAGCACGACCCGCAUCACUGGGACUGAGACACUGCCCAGACACCUACGGGUGGCUGCAGUCGAGGAUCUUCGGCAAUGGGCGAAAGCCUGACCGAGCGACGCCGCGUGCGGGAUGAAGGCCUUCGGGUUGUAAACCGCUGUCAGUGGGGAGGAAAUAUUAGAGGGUACUCUCUCUAGUUUGACCUAUCCGCAGAGGAAGGACGGGCUAAGUUCGUGCCAGCAGCCGCGGUAAUACGAACCGUCCUAACGUUAUUCGGAUUUACUGGGCUUAAAGGGUGCGUAGGCGGCCCGGUAAGUUGGGUGUGAAAUCCCUCGGCUCAACCGAGGAAUGGCGCUCAAAACUGCCGGGCUUGAGGAAGAUAGAG
rnacentral:rRNA from 1 species